rnacentral:rRNA from 1 species
CCUACGGGUGGCAGCAGUAGGGAAUCUUCCACAAUGGACGAAAGUCUGAUGGAGCAACGCCGCGUGAGUGAAGACGGGUUUCUGCUCGUAAAGCUCUUUUGGUAGUGAAGAAAGAUAGAGGUAGUAACUGGCCUUUAUUUUACGGUAAUUACUUAGAAAGUCACGGCUACCUACGUGCCAGCAGCCGCGGUAAUUCGGGGGUGGAAAGCGUUGUCCGGAUUUUUUGGGCGUAAGGCGGGUGCAGGUGGUUCAAUAAGUCUGAUGUGAAAGUCUUCGGCUCAACCGGAGGAUUGCAUUAGAAACUGUUGAACUUGAGUGCGGGAGAGGAGAGUGGAACGCCAUGUGUAGCGGUGGAAUGCGUAGAUAUAUGGAAGAACACCAGUGGCGAAGGCGGCUCUCUGGGCUGCAACUGACGCUGAGGCUCGAAAGCAUGGGUAGCGAACAGGAUUAGAUACCCCGGUAGUC